ACUUUGAUUAUGUUACUAGUCCGUGCCGUAAUGGUUAUUUCCUUCGGCUUGACGAAGGGUAUAGCCAUUCCUUGCCAUUCUACGUGUUCUUUAAUAUAAUUGUUCUUUGCAGCGUCUUUAAGGAAGUCGGAUCCGUUCAUUCCGCCAUGUGGGAUAGGGAAGGAGUCGGGUACAACGUAGAAUUCUACGGGGUAUCCGUAAAUGUCAACAAUUCAAACACCCAUCUUUAAAGAAAUCGGAUCUGAUUAUGCCGCCAUGCGAAAUGUGAAAGGAGUCGGGAACAAUAUGGAAUACUACGGGGUAUCCGUAAAUGUCAAUGGUGCAAGAACCGUCUUUUGAAGUGAUGACGACACAAGGUGAACUCGAAUCGUUUUUUAAUCGGACUGUGCAAACCUAUUUGGUUCGUCUGUUCUUACUGUCAUUAUUUGACGCGUUUGCGCGUUUACCACUGAGGUCGCGUCUUUCGACGAAGAGUGAUUUGCGUUUUCUAACUAGCGUUCUUGUCACAUCUUCUUGCGACAUUCGUCGAUCGUGUCCAUAAUUUUUGCAAUAUCGUUAUUCCUUUGGAUAGUUAGGAGAACGGGAAGGUGCUACAGUAGGAUGAGUGUGAGGUAGUCAAAGGGGAGCCGGAUGAUAUAUUCUAUGGGUAGGAGUUGAGUUACGCUAUUGUGAAUCAUGUGUAUUUCUGCAGCAUUUGUCACAUGACAUUUUUAUACAACAAUUAUAAAAACAUUUCCUGACAUAAUACCAUUAUAAAAACGUUUCUAUACUACUAUUAUAGAAACAUUUCCUUAUAUAUUAUAAAAAUC